rnacentral:lncRNA from 1 species
UAUGAACUCUCCUCUCACCAUCCACACCUUCAACUGAAAAUGUUAGACAUGUUAUAAAGACAUGUCUUCAUACAUUUAGCAAUCAUUAUGUAAGCUCGCCGUGAGCAAAAGAACUUUCACACCAGCUAUGUGGGGUGCAAGUUAAACAGGUCACGUCCAGACCAAAGUAUAAGUUUUGCUUUACAUGCAUGUAACUAUCGCUGAACACACAUCAGGAAUUUGGGGACUGCCAUAGCAGCAUCUGGCAUGACAGCUAUCACCGGCUCGAAGUAUCAAAAUAUAACCUAGGGGUCGUCAUCAAGAGUUGCAUCUUCAGGAUCCAACUACCUUCGCGAUCACCUCUAACUUGUCAGAACUGCACCUCCGAGAUCAUGAAAUCAGGCACCUCGGGGUAGACAUGUGACCACUGAUUGCGAAAAAUAUGUAAUCAACUCCACCUAGCUUUUAUGCAGUGCUUCAGAUUGCCCCGCUUUGUUCAUCAGAUCUAUCAUUUUCCAUGUAAACAGUAUGUAAACCGUUUUCCACACAACCACAUGACACAGAACAUAUUUUUGUAAUUAAUUCUAUGAUUCCUGCUAUUUUCCAUUUUUUACUUCAAAGGUGUUUCAAUGUUUUAUAUUCAGUAAACUAAAACCAAACUUAAUUGCUUUUACAAGAUGGAUAAUCCAAUCCCAUUUGUUAUUUCAAGUCACAGUGUCUCCACUUCAGAAGUACAAUUUCAACAUAUUUGCUUGAAACACCAGGCUGGAGGCUAACAGUAAGAAAUUCAAGACGGACACAACAUACUUAAUAUGCCGUCAUAAUACAGAAGCUGCCUCUAGUUGUCAGAUGUCCAGUUUACAAUGGUUUCACCCAGUUGAAUUAUACAUUCAAUUAUGAAAACCAUUCCAAGUGUUAAUUAACACGUUACAUCUACCUAUGCUUCACAUGUCUAUUAACCACAGUUGCCUACAGCAAUCCAUUCUGAAAAUGCAAUUUGAGCAAGACCACUCAAGCACACUAUUUUAAAGUGGGCAAUUAGACCAAUCGAUUGCAUUAAAAACUGUCUGUCUCAACCUUAUAUAGAAUAGGGUUUCUAGUCUGUACUCAAUGGAAGGUACAUGUUCAAAUAGAGAAACUGACCUUUAAAACUGCCGGCAAAGUAAGCUUUCAUAGAAUUAAAAACUCUACUGCUGCAUUGCAGCCAACGUUUUUCUAAGUUAUUUAUGAGUGUACCAAUCCUGUUGUAGUGUAACAAUAACUACAAAACAUCAUUCGGUUGUAUUAUAUAUGAUGACUUGAUGAGUAGUCCCAAUGCAUCAAGAAACAGAAAACAAAUACCAAAUUAUGGACAGCUUGACACAUUCUGUCAAAUUGGUACUCCAGCCCACACUAACUCCAUUACUCAUAGCAACAAACCAAUGUUAAUAUAAUUAUGUAUUUUAAUUCAGGGACAUGGAUACUGCAUGUGUAACCUAAAUUGCAGACCUGCGCAACCUCAUAAUUUUUGAAGUGCGGUAGUACAAUUUAUUUUCCAGCUGCAUUAUCUAUGCCAUCCCCUUUCUAACGACAUUUACAGCCUUAGUUCAUGAAGGUUCAUAUGUUCAUCACAGUUUAUAAAUUGUACCUAUCCGCAUUUUAACUAUUUCAGAAAGUUUCUAGGCUAGCUGCUCGUCCCGGGGUAAACCAAAUUCUAAGAUGAACAGCUACAAGUAUUAUGCUAGCCCCCCUGUAAUGACAAUUGCAUUUUGAGUUCUACAAACUCCAUAGCUGAUUAAGAGCAUACCUUCGCAUUCAUCCUGGAGCUUUUGGGUCCAUCUGACCAAUUGACUGUUCGCAUCAAAUAUCUUAAUGCAGUAAGCACGCAACACCCAAAGCAACUCACUCCCUUUUCACGAUUUGUCAGUCAUGUCUAUAGUUUUCCCACAAAUUCGAACACUGAUGAUGGAAUCAAGCAGUUUUACACCUACUGCUUAUUCCACCCGGGCGCUUGCGGAUUCAUCUUGCCCAUUGACAGCUCC